AGAAAAAGAUAAUGAAAAAGAAAAAAUGAGAAAGAAAAGAUGAUGAAGAAAAAAAAUAGAUGAGAAAAAAAAUGGUGAAAAAGAAAAUAAAUGAGAAACAAAGAUUAAUGGAAAACAAAAUAGAUGAAAAAAAUACGUAUAAAAAAUGAGAGAAAAUAGAAGAAAGGGAGAAAUGAGAGAAUAAAAAAAUGAAAAAGAGGUGUGGAAAGAAAAUAUUAGCAACCGAUUAAGUGGGUUGCUAAUUUUUGAAAGCUAGCGGAAAUUUCCCCUCUAUCAAUCAACAGUUGAUUUAUCAAUCGAUUGUAAAAAUCGAUUGUUAUUAACAACUGAAUAAUAAAUCAAUUACAAAUUAAAAAUAAAAAAUGAAUUUUUGAAAAAAUUAGCAAUAUUUUUCCCACCUAAAUUUAGCAACCUACUCAAAAUCGAUUACUGAUAGCAAUCAAUUUCAAUUAGUUAUAAAAAUCAGUUUCUAAUAGCAAUCAAUUCGUUAAUUGAUUGCAAAUUACAAAAAAAAAAAGAAGUUUU
rnacentral:misc_RNA from 1 species